rnacentral:rRNA from 1 species
CCUACGGGAGGCAGCAGUGGGGAAUUGUUCGCAAUGGGCGCAAGCCUGACGACGCAACGCCGCGUGGAGGAUGAAGAUCUUCGGGUCGUAAACUCCUGUCAGCAGGGAAAAAGGGAGGCGACCUCAUACGUCGUUGACUUGAUUGUACCUGCAGAGGAAGCCCCGGCUAACUCUGUGCCAGCAGCCGCGGUAAU